rnacentral:rRNA from 1 species
GGGUGCAAGCGUUAAUCGGAAUUACUGGGCGUAAAGCGUGCGCAGGCGGUUGUGCAAGACAGAUGUGAAAUCCCCGGGCUUAACCUGGGAACUGCAUUUGUGACUGCACAGCUAGAGUGCGGCAGAGGGGGAUGGAAUUCCGCGUGUAGCAGUGAAAUGCGUAGAUAUGCGGAGGAACACCGAUGGCGAAGGCAAUCCCCUGGGCCUGCACUGACGCUCAUGCACGAAAGCGUGGGGAGCAAACAGG